rnacentral:rRNA from 1 species
GACGAACGCUGGCGGCGUGCCUAAUACAUGCAAGUUGAGCGCUGAAGGUUGGUACUUGUACCAACUGGAUGAGCAGCGAACGGGUGAGUAACGCGUGGGGAAUCUGCCUUUGAGCGGGGGACAACAUUUGGAAACGAAUGCUAAUACCGCAUAAAAACUUUAAACACAAGUUUUAAGUUUGAAAGAUGCAAUUGCAUCGCUCAAAGAUGAUCCCGCGUUGUAUUAGCUAGUUGGUGAGGUAAAGGCUCACCAAGGCGAUGAUACAUAGCCGACCUGAGAGGGUGAUCGGCCACAUUGGGACUGAGACACGGCCCAAACUCCUACGGGAGGCAGCAGUAGGGAAUCUUCGGCAAUGGACGAAAGUCUGACCGAGCAACGCCGCGUGAGUGAAGAAGGUUUUCGGAUCGUAAAACUCUGUUGGUAGAGAAGAACGUUGGUGAGAGUGGAAAGCUCAUCAAGUGACGGUAACUACCCAGAAAGGGACGGCUAACUACGUG